rnacentral:misc_RNA from 1 species
AUCUUUUUUAAUUACUCAUUUCAAGUAAAUAAAUAUAUAAAAAUUUUUUCAAAGUGUGGGUUUUAAAUACACGCGCGAAAAAGAUCGCGCGGAGAUUGAUAAUGAUCCUUCCGCAGGUUCACCUACGGAAA